UACGGAGGGGGCUAGCGUUGUUCGGAAUUACUGGGCGUAAAGCGCUCGUAGGCGGCCAACUAAGUCAGACGUGAAAUCCCUCGGCUUAACCGGGGAACUGCGUCUGAUACUGGAUGGCUUGAGUUCGGGAGAGGGAUGCGGAAUUCCAGGUGUAGCGGUGAAAUGCGUAGAUAUCUGGAGGAACACCGGUGGCGAAGGCGGCAUCCUGGACCGACACUGACGCUGAGGAGCGAAAGCCAGGGGAGCAAACGGG
rnacentral:rRNA from 1 species